rnacentral:misc_RNA from 1 species
ACAACGCAGUGCCACUC